UCCUAGAGCGCAGGUAGGGCCUUGUGUUGUUAUUUGCACCCCCGAAACGGGUUAUGAUGCUAGAAAAAUCAUAAAUUAUAGAAGAACUACUUUCGUGGUCAUAGAUGAUGCUGAUGUUAUCGUUGAUAUGGGUCUUAUAAAACAAGUCUUGGACAUCAUCCAAUGUACAAGAACUGACUGCCAGACUGUUGUAUUAUCUACUACCUUCCAACCUGAUCUGGAAUUACUUGCUCGUGCUGUUACAAUGGAUCCUGUGCUGAUACGCCGUGUGGAAAAACUGGAUGUAGGGGAAGGUGAAGAAGGCCAAAGGGAGGUGAAAAGGCUGAAACGUGCUGCUGUCUAAGAUAUAUCAAGAGCUAUUUUGUUCAAGUUGCUAUUUCUGUUAGCACAACCUGAAAUCAAUCUCUUUUGUCGACAUAUAGAAGGUACCCACGCAUUACACCUGCGACAAUUUGUAGCGUGCGAAAAGUCGUGACAGCAAUAGUUGUACAACAUGAUACUCGCUUUCUGUAACAGAGGGAGUAUUAUUUUUAGAUAUAUAUAAAUAUAAAUCUUCAUAUAAUGUAAUAUUAGUGAAAAACAUUUGUAUCCUUACAUAGUAUUUUCUUUUCUUUUCUUUAGGUGAAUGCAUUAUGCAUUUAUGUUUCAUUGUCAAAACCUCUACGUCUGUGGCCAUGAUUUGUGAUAUGGAUAGCCAUCUGCUAACAAAUAAAAGAGAAAAACAAUAAUUAUCACGCCAUUCAGUAAAAGCAUGUAACUUUUAAACUAGUCCAACCCAGGUAGAAGCAAACUGGGCCAACCCGAGCGUGCCCCACCCACCACCGGUCCAGUCGGCGGGUUAACUUUUAAUAUGAAUUCGUGUUUGACCUGGCCGUCAGACCCGUUCUCGGUCGUUUACAUCAUUAUAUAUUGUUUCUCUGAUAUACAGUUGAAAAAUGUAUAAACU